rnacentral:rRNA from 1 species
AAACAUGUCUUUUUGAGUUGAUUUUAAAGUCUAGCCUGCCCACUGAAUAAUUUUUUAAAUGGCCGCAGUAUUUUGACUGUGCAAAGGUAGCAUAAUCAUUAGUCUUUUAAUUGAAGGCUGGUAUGAAUGGUUGGACGAAGUAUAAGCUGUUUCAUAUGAAUUUAUUAUAGAAUUUUAUAUUUUAGUAAAAAAGCUAAAAUUUUAUUAAAAGACGAGAAGACCCUAUAAAUCUUUAUAUUUAGUUUUAUUUUAAUUUUUUAGAUUAUUUUUAUUUUAAUGAAAUUAAAUAUUUUGUUGGGGUGAUAUUAAAAUUUAAUUAACUUUUAAUUAUUAUAAAUCAUUAAUUUAUGAUUUGUUGAUCCAAUAAUAUUGAUUAUAAGAUUAAGUUACUUUAGGGAUAACAGCGUAAUUUUUUUUAAGAGUUCAUAUCGAUAAAAAAGUUUGCGACCUCGAUGUUGGAUUAAGGUAUAAUUUUGGGUGUAGCUGUUCAAAUAUUAAGUCUGUUCGACUUUUAAAUCCUUACAUGAUC